CGCGGCGGGCCGCGGGCACGCUGGGAAGUGUAGUCCGGCGGGCGGCUGCCGGCGGCGGCUCCCCGCGGCGCCCCCACGUGGCGGCGGCGGCCGGAGCUGCGUCACGCGGGACGCGCGGCCCAACGGCAACUUCGCCCGGAAUCGGGCGGUUUUUAGGUGCGUCACCGAGGUUCCCCUUAAGGAGCCCCUGAACGAGUCGAAACCUUCACAGGUGGCUCAAGAAUCGGAGGUUUGGGAGGUUUAAGCGCCCCCUUUUCCAGACACAAGUGUGGAGACAAGGCGGCGGACCAAGCCCAGAAAGCAACGGAAAACGAACGGCCCCUCAAGCUUUUCGACGCUAGCAUUAGGCGGAAAGGUGGACGGGCGCGGCCUAGGGAAGGAGGACGUAGCCUCAGGCUCCAGCCCAGCCUGCACCGCGCUCGGGAGCACCGGGGGCCAGUCGCCUGCAGUCCUCCCCGGACCAGGUCUCCCGUCCUCGCAGCGUUGGAGCAUCUCGACGUCCUUUGCCCGGUGAGGAAGGCCUGGCUCGUCUUCUCCUCUGAGCAAAGCGCCUCACUGCGGUGUAAGAAUGUGAAGAACCUUCCUAGUUCCUAACACAAGAGAGGGAGCAGAGAUGCCUGCCUAGCAUACAUACCGCUGCUGAGCAAGAAGGAUUCCAUAAUGUAAUCUGGGCUGAUCCCAAGGACUGACCUGGGCUCUCUACAGGAUCCAUGCGCUACCACAGUUACUUUUGGCCAGUCUGAAGCUCCAUCAUCUGCACUGUUCUUGCAGCACCUCCCAGUUUCCGAACUCCCUGGUGGUGGGGUGCCCAGCACAGCAUCGCUGCGAACGGCAGCCAUCCAGCCAGUGCUCAGAGAACCACAGCAUUUACUGCAGGAGUGACUGGCAGCGAUAGCCCAGGUAAACGUGAAAGGAACGGCUUAGGAUCAAGGGAGGGGAGUCAGUCAGCACAACAGCUCAGACUAAGGAGGAAAAGCUGCGUUUGCAUUUAUACUCUAACCUGUUCUCGCAAAGGAAAACAUUUGCCUAAGGAUGUCAGCCUAGAUGUUAAAAGUUACUUGGAGAAAAGAUGCCUUGUUUGAUUAGUGGGACUGCAGGUAUCAGUUAUAGCCUGUUGAUAGUUUUGGCUCUUUACGUAGUGAACAGGUUGAUUACUAAUACCAGGAGGAAUGCGAGCCCGCACUGAGGGACUUAGGGGUUGCCAGAAACUCCCUCACAAUUUGCUAGAACUGGAGGUGUUCAGCCUGUUGUGUGUGCUGCUCAUCACGUCAACAACUAGAAGAAUCUGUUCUGGGAAAAUCCACUCAGCUUAAUCACUAAACUCAUAGAAAAUGAGAGGAGAAGCGCAUAAAGUGGGAUGAGGUGAGGACCGAGGAUACUUAGUAUCCUAGGAUGAUUUUUGCAUUUCUUCUGGCCAGACGUUACAGGAAGACAGCCUGCUGCACGUCUGCUUGCGUGGCAGCAGCCCCCGUGUGUUAGGCUGUGUGACAGUCGAGUAUGGAUGGCCCCGUGGGAGAGCUGGUAAAAGGCAGAGCUUUGUUAGUAAUCACAGAGAGUUUGCAAAAGGCUAUAGCUGUUUGCUUCCAGCCUUAUCCUGACCCUAUGAUUAGUGAUGCACUGAUCAUUAUUUGCUUAAUAAGAUUGGAAAACAGAGGGCAGAGAUUUACUCUACUCCUCUUCACAACCAGCAAGUGUUCAUAUGUGCUUUCAGAUUGCAGGGCAGAUCCACUAGCUACUUAAGUAAGAUUUCCAGGGACUUAACAGGCUUUAUCACAAGUCCUGCAAAAUUGGAAUCAACUCUAACAUUUCUUCUUUGUUAGAUAUUACACUGAAGUUUAUUGAACCAUUUCUUCCUUUCCGGAAGGGAGGCCUUUAAAGCCACAUACUCAAGGACAAAUGUGAGAUGACCUGUGAGGUUUGGCUCAGCUCUUUGACAGAAAAGGGGUGAGAAUUCCCUUCAGGAGAGGUAAUCCUGGACCCCAUGUGAAUGGAACCACUUCCUUGCAGCCCUAAGUAGAAAGUCUAAGACCCAGGGAUAGCUGGAUUUCAGAGUCAGCCAUGUCUUCCUGCUACCUAAUUUGGUGGUGGUUGUUUUGGAUUCCGUUUUGAGGUUAUUCCCUUAGGGUAUCUUCAUUUCUGGAAGGAACCUUCUCUGUGAGGAUAACUUAUGUGUCGGGCUCCCAGUGCUAAAAUUCUGGAAACCGGUGUUAAUGCAUAUGAAAAUAAACUUCC